AAAUAAUAAACAUCCGACCCACUAAUAAAGUAGGUUACAAGCAAGCGUCUUCUACUUCUUCAUUGUCGACGCAACCAUCAAAUCUUCUCCCCUCAAUUCCGUCGAUGGAGUAAAUCAGUAUCAAUGGCGUGCAAUUAAUUCACCGUACUUUCUCCUCAUCAAUCUAGACUUUUCACCUCCCCCAUCAACCGAAUCAGCUAUAUAUAUCUUAUAUAUAUAUAUAUAUAUAUAUAUAUAUGUGGUCUCGACCAAUGAUCCCACUCCUUUGCAUUCAAUUGGUUUUAGUCUCUGUUUUGCAUGAACUCCAUCAACGGCGACUUCCCACCUUCUUCUUGCUGAUUCGAAAGCUGGAUGUUGACUGAUAAAGAAGGCAGGGACGACGAGGAUGGCUUCCUCAUUGGGUUGUCUCACCGACUCACUCCCUCAACUUAACACUUCCUUUCUUCAACUCCAAGUCCGAGUUAUGGAUGAGAAAGUGGAUGCUCGAUCUAUUGCUUUAUGUUUCGAUUUUGAUCUAAUCCGACUUAUUUCAUGGUUUCUCAGAUAAGGAUGAGAAUUAAAAAAGCACACACCAAGACCUAAACGCUAAGGCUAUCUCUCUUUGAAAACGCUAUGUUCUUGCAGCAACGUCUCACCCAUUAGCUUUCUUAAGGUUCACACGAAAACGUAGACAAGAGCUGGUGCCGCAAGAACGGCUAGACAGACUGUGCAAGAGCUCGAAUGGCUGUUUGACAAGCACAAACCUCUUACGAAUCAUACUAUUGCGAGAACCCUACAACUAGAAGUUCCUUGAAUGGCGAUUACUCAGCUCUACUGCUCCAAUUUGAAGGCUGGUUGUUGCAAGGACAGAGGUGUUGGGAGGCGAGGAAUGUUAAGAAAUCCGGCGAGCUUAUGGGUGUGGAUUUGGUGUUCCUCGAUAAGAAGCUACCUUGAUCCACGGUUCUAUACUUCUAUUGGUGCUCAUAGACUCAACACUUUCAACCACUUGCUGAGGGAAGGGGUCAUCUAUGAGUCGAGCAAAUUCCAAAACAUCAACAUGAACGGCUACAGGCUUACCAUCUGCAGCAUCAGCAGAAACAUAUACAUCACGCUGAUAUUGUACGUAGGAAGUGGAUAAGUUUGAGCUUUGAUAACUCGAGUUGUACAUCGCUUAGUGCCUUAUGAAAGGAGAUGAGCAUGGAAGCAGCAAAUGUGGAAGCUCUAGACGAGGCCACUGCUCUAAGAGAACGUCAGAUGAAAUAUCGGGUAGGAAAUCAGAGUGCCUCCUAUAAGUAACAGGGUUGCAGAUAUCCCUCUUGGGAAAAUAUGGUCACAAACCCAUUUAUGGAUUUCCUUAUCGCAGGGGAUAUUUUAAAUGCGGUAGCAAGACAGAUUGUCCUUAUAGGAACCACAUAGAAAGAUGUUUGGAAGAUCCGGCAAUGCCGUAACAACAUAACUUUCAUUUAUCAUCUGUGUUCUCUCCAAUGUGCAUGAUGAUAGAUGGGUCUUGAUUCUGCUCCAAUAUUGUGUGAUAAAAUGAUGGAAGCAGUGCUUUUAGUUCGGUGGAUUUGCGCAUGAGAGAGUUUACUGCUGUUGGUUGGUUUGGUUUAAGGGGUAAACGAAGGAUUUGUAAAGACCUUUGUUCUUAUUCCUAUCAAGUUUAUUUCUUUUAAUGA